UACGGGGGGGGCAAGCGUUGUUCGGAAUUACUGGGCGUAAAGGGCUCGUAGGCGGCCAACUAAGUCGGAUGUGAAAUCCCCAGGCUUAACCUGGGAACUGCAUCCGAUACUGGAUGGCUUGAAUCCGGGAGAGGGAUGCAGAAUUCCAGGUGUAGCGGUGAAAUGCGUAGAGAUCGGGAAGAACACCAAUGGCGAAGGCACUCUGCUGGGCCACGACUGACACUGAGAGACGAAAGCUAGGGGAGCAAACGGG
rnacentral:rRNA from 1 species